rnacentral:rRNA from 1 species
CCCAGUGGCCAUAUCACCCUGCAGCUCACAACUGACAACCCACUGAACCUAAGCAGGUGUGAGCCUGGCUGGUACCUAGAUGGGAGACCUCCUGGGAAAAACUAAGGUUGCUGCUGGAA